rnacentral:rRNA from 1 species
UAACACAUGCAAGUCGAACGGAAGUAUGAAAGCUUGCUUUUAAACUUUAGUGGCAAACGGGUGAGUAACGCGUAGACAACCUACCGCAUAGUUGGGGACAACAGCUCGAAAGAGCUGCUAAUACCGAAUGUUGCAUUUUUCUCGCAUGAGAGAAAUGUUAAAGAUGGCCUCUACUUGUAAGCUAUCGCUGUGCGAUGGGUCUGCGUCUGAUUAGCUAGUUGGCGAGGUAACGGCUCACCAAGGCGACGAUCAGUAGCCGAUCUGAGAGGAUGACCGGCCACAUUGGGACUGAGACACGGCCCAGACUCCUACGGGAGGCAGCAGUGGGGAAUUUUCCGCAAUGGACGAAAGUCUGACGGAGCAACGCCGCGUGAGUGAAGAAGGGUUUCGACUCGUAAAGCUCUUUUGUUUUAGACGAACGAUACGGAUGUGAAUAAUGUCCGUAAGCGACGGUAUAAAACGAAUAAGCCACGGCUAACUACGUGCCAGCAGCCGCGGUAAUACGUAGGUGGCGAGCGUUGGCCGGAAUUAUUGGGCGUAAAGGGAGCGUACGCGGAUAUGUAAGUUCUUCUUAAAAGUGCGGGGCUUAACCCCGUGAUGGGGAG